rnacentral:rRNA from 1 species
AGAAGUGCGAAUGCUGACAUGAGUAACGACAAUGGGUGUGAAAAACACCCACGCCGAAAGACCAAGGGUUCCUGCGCAACGUUAAUCGACGCAGGGUUAGUCGGUUCCUAAGGCGAGGCUGAAAAGCGUAGUCGAUGGGAAACAGGUUAAUAUUCCUGUACUUCUGGUUACUGCGAUGGAGGGACGGAGAAGGCUAGGCCAGCUUGGCGUUGGUUGUCCAAGUUUAAGGUGGUAGGCUGAAAUCUUAGGUAAAUCCGGGGUUUCAAGGCCGAGAGCUGAUGACGAGUCGUCUUUUAGAUGACGAAGUGGUUGAUGCCAUGCUUCCAAGAAAAGCUUCUAAGCUUCAGGUAACCAGGAACCGUACCCCAAACCGACACAGGUGGUCGGGUAGAGAAUACCAAGGCGCUUGAGAGAACUCGGGUGAAGGAACUAGGCAAAAUGGCACCAUAACUUCGGGAGAAGGUGCGCCGGCUAGGGUGAAGGAUUUACUCCGUAAGCUCUGGCUGGUCGAAGAUACCAGGCCGCUGCGACUGUUUAUUAAAAACACAGCACUCUGCAAACACGAGAGUGGACGUAUAGGGUGUGACGCCUGCCCGGUGCCGGAAGGUUAAUUGAUGGGGUUAGCGCAAGCGAAGCUCUUGAUCGAAGCCCCGGUAAACGGCGGCCGUAACAAUAACGGUCCUAAGGUAGCGAAAUUCCUUGUCGGGUAAGUUCCGACCUGCACGAAUGGCGUAACGAUGGCGGCGCUGUCUCCACCCGAGACUCAGUGAAAUUGAAAUCGCUGUGAAGAUGCAGUGUAUCCGCGGCUAGACGGAAAGACCCCGUGAACCUUUACUGUAGCUUUGCACUGGACUUUGAGCCUGCUUGUGUAGGAUAGGUGGGAGGCUUUGAAGCGUGGACGCCAGUUCGCGUGGAGCCAUCCUUGAAAUACCACCCUGGCAUGCUUGAGGUUCUAACUCUGGUCCGUAAUCCGGAUCGAGGACAGUGUAUGGUGGGCAGUUUGACUGGGGCGGUCUCCUCCUAAAGAGUAACGGAGGAGUACGAAGGUGCGCUCAGACCGGUCGGAAAUCGGUCGCAGAGUAUAAAGGCAAAAGCGCGCUUGACUGCGAGACAGACACGUCGAGCAGGUACGAAAGUAGGUCUUAGUGAUCCGGUGGUUCUGUAUGGAAGGGCCAUCGCUCAACGGAUAAAAGGUACUCCGGGGAUAACAGGCUGAUACCGCCCAAGAGUUCAUAUCGACGGCGGUGUUUGGCACCUCGAUGUCGGCUCAUCACAUCCUGGGGCUGAAGCCGGUCCCAAGGGUAUGGCUGUUCGCCAUUUAAAGUGGUACGCGAGCUGGGUUUAGAACGUCGUGAGACAGUUCGGUCCCUAUCUGCCGUGGACGUUUGAGAUUUGAGAGGGGCUGCUCCUAGUACGAGAGGACCGGAGUGGACGAACCUCUGGUGUUCCGGUUGUCACGCCAGUGGCAUUGCCGGGUAGCUAUGUUCGGAAAAGAUAACCGCUGAAAGCAUCUAAGCGGGAAACUUGCCUCAAGAUGAGAUCUCACUGGGAACUUGAUUCCCCUGAAGGGCCGUCGAAGACUACGACGUUGAUAGGCUGGGUGUGUAAGCGUUGUGAGGCGUUGAGCUAACCAGUACUAAUUGCCCGUGAG